rnacentral:misc_RNA from 1 species
CAUUAUUGAAAUAAACCUGAUGGGUUGUUGCUGGUUCUCUAGAGAGCAUGUGCACACCUUGUCAUCUUUAUAUCUCCACCUGUGCACCUUUUGUAGACCUUCCAGGUCUAUGUUGCUUCUUCAUAUACCCAAUGUAUGUUAAUAGAAUGUUGUUGCUUAUAAAUCUAUACAACUUUCAGCAACGGAUCUCUUGGCUCUCGCAUCGAUGAAGAACGCAGCGAAAUGCGAUAAGUAAUGUGAAUUGCAGAAUUCAGUGAAUCAUCGAAUCUUUGAACGCACCUUGCGCUCCUUGGUAUUCCGAGGAGCAUGCCUGUUUGAGUGUCAUUAAUAUAUAUAUCAAACUUCUCUUCUUCUGAGUGGUUUGGAUGUGGGGGUUUUGCUGGCCUCUUAAAGGGGUUCAGCUCUCCUGAAAUGCAUUAGCAGAACAAACCUGUUCAUUGGUGUGAUAACUAUCUACGCUGUUGAAUGUUAAGGGGCAGUUCAGCUUUCUAACAGUCCCAGGACAAUUUAUCACUUAUGUGACCUCAAAUCAGGUAGGACUACCCGCUGAACUUAAGCAUAU